GUGAGAGAAGAUAAAAUUGAGAAUGGAAAUGGGGAAUGUGUCAAAGAGACAACAACCCGACCAAAUAAAAAACAACAGCAGAGGGUCACCAACAGGUCUUCAAUGUAGCGAGAAAUUCCCGCACCCGGAGGCGUCCUUCAGCUGGCCCCUAAACAAAUAUAUACUAGUCCAGUGAUAAUGAACGCCAUACUAAUUUCCAAAUUGUACACAAG
rnacentral:lncRNA from 1 species